ensembl:lncRNA
UCCAGACGACCUUUAGUGUAAAUGCCCUAACUGCCUCCCGCUGUCUCAUUAGUGUCCCGUGGUGGAGCCAGUAAACAGCUGCAGUGCGGAGCUCCUGCUGAGACCUCCCCCACCCCCGCUACACCCGGACCCGCAGACCGAAUCCCUCCCUCGCCCCCUGGAACCGGGGUCCGCCCACGUCAGCCCUUUCAGGGCUGUCAACCUCCAUAUCAUCAGCCUCCGCUGCUCCAACCUUUCAUCAGUACACUGCCGCUCCCCUGCCACAUCCAGGGCUUCGUCUUUCGGUGUCGGUAGCAAGGCAGUGCUUUGAGAAGCAGGGCCACUCGUCUCGGUACUUCAGUGAGGUUGGUUCAGCGGUGCGUUGUUGACAGAGGCCUUCAGAUCUUUGUGUACCUGGCCUCUCCAAACUGCUUCCCUUGAUGCCGCGACUGCUAUGGAACGUUGCUUAGUACUAUGACAUUAGAGUACCAUGCGUCAUACAGCUCCAACAGACUUCCAGAGGAGAGGAUCUGGUGCCGUGUUGUGUUCUCUUGAGGAAUAGGAGUGAAAUUAUCCACCAAAAAAACAGCCUACUUCAAUUCUUCACAUCAGGUUAAGUUGCCAGAACCUUGGUCAUGGGGAAAAAACUGAACGUAAUAGAUCAAACAACAAGGGAAAUAAACCCAAAACUGUAACGAG